rnacentral:RNase_P_RNA from 1 species
AAAGCAAACCACUUUGUCGCUUUACCUUUGGGUAAAGAGGAAAGUCUGAGCAGCAAAGGGAAUCAUACUUCUUAACGGGAAGGGUCCAGUUUACUGGAUACAGCAAGUGCCGCAGAAAAUUAAACUACCUUGGCCUAGCCAAGGAAAAGGUGAAAAGGUGAGGUAAGAGCUCACCGCUUUCAAAGUGAUUUGAAAGGCAUGGUAAACCUUAUGAGCUGAAACAUCAUGUAAACCAAGGCUUGAAACUACCCGGUUAAUCUUGGAGGGUGGAUGGAUUGAGCCUUAGGGUGACCUAAGGCCUAGAUAAAUGACAAAGGAUUUUAGCAAUAAAAUUACAGAACUCGGCUUAUCGGUUUGCUUUUUCU